CAUGAGACCCGACAUCGAUACCGGAUACGUGCACACAGUAGCUGGGGUGGGUUAGGAGGGGGUUAACCCCCCCCCCCACCCCCAUACACACAGAUUUCCAACCACACGUCAGUAUUCAGCGGAGAGAGUGUGGUGGACUAACAUUAUAUGCUUUCCUUCAGCUCGAGGUAGACAGUACCAGGGACACUCAGGAAGUUGACUCUAGAUGGCAGCGUUGAUGUUUGUGACAAAACGAUAGAUGCAGAUGAAUGUAUUGAAUUUGUUCUCCAAAAAGAGUGUAUGGAAAAGGAUGUGGUACUGGGUAUAUUGUUGAAACAGGGGAAGAUGGACUUGGAGAACUGAUAUGAUACACUAUAAGAUGUGCUAUCCAGUAAGAUUGCAGCUUCAUCCAGUCACCCCAUACUACAGUACUGUUAUCUGAUGUGCUUUACAAAGUGUGGCUGCCCAAACCAUCUCAGAGCUUUUAACUACUGUAUAACCUGUAGAAUGUGUCAAGGUCAUGAGGGAAGA